UAUAGAGAGGAAAGGAAUCGUAGAUCUGUUUGAAAUUGAAACAGAUUCCAUGGCGAUCCCCGCAGCCAUCUAAAGUAUUGUCUCCGGCAUGGUGAUCUUCUCUCAGCUUGUUUCGCGACCACGGAAGUACCUUUCAUGGUUGUCGACUCAAAUCUCGCGUCAAACACGUUUUGGUUUCCAUUGACAUCUACAACCAAUGAUCCUCGGGUUGGUGGCGAAAUAUGGAUCAUUCAUUUCGGUGAUCACUGAUCACAGUGUUUGUCGUUCUGUUCAUUUACCUAAUAGCUACCCCGUCUAAGUCAAGUAGCAAACGUAACCAAGUUAAAGGGUUACAAAGCCGACAAAGAUGAAUUCUUGGGCAGUGCUGUACUUGGCAGUUAUACAGAACCUCAUUGUUUUUAAAACACAGAGGGACUGUUUCAAGGUUUUGCACUUCCACUUUCUUAUGCCUGCUUAUGAUGUGGAAUGAGUUUCUCUGAUUUUGAAAUUUUUUGCCAAGCGUUUACAUUGUGCAGGGAAAUGAUCUAAAGCUGAAGAUGGACCUUUCAAGAGAAAGAGAAAUGGCAAGAAAAUGAAAGAAGAUAAUAUAGUAGUGAACAACAUUUAAGGGCCUUUAGGCCUUUGCUUGAGCAGGCGUGAUGGCAGCCGCUGGAGCAACACCACCAGUGGUUGGACUGAAAGAAAAGAGAGUUUCAU